CCAGCCUUCACUGACAGAGGCUGA
rnacentral:piRNA from 1 species